CUAGAACCAUCCAUCCAUCCAGGUAGGUAGUAUACACUAACACACUGAACACCUGUCUAGAACCAUCCAUCCAUCCAGGUAGGUAGUAUACACUAACACACUGAACACCUGUCUAGAACCAUCCAUCCAUCCAGGUAGGUAGUAUACACUAACACACUGAACACCUGUCUAGAACCAUCCAUCCAUCCAGGUAGGUAGUAUACACUAACACACUGAACACCUGUCUAGAACCAUCCAUCCAGGUAGGUAGGUAGUAUACACUAACACACUGAACACCUGUCUAGAACCAUCCAUCCAUCCAGGUAGGUAGUAUACACUAACACACUGAACACCUGUCUAGAACCAUCCAUCCAUCCAGGUAGGUAGUAUACACUAACACACUGAACACCUGUCUAGAACCAUCCAUCCAUCCAGGUAGGUAGUAUACACUAACACACUGAACACCUGUCUAGAACCAUCCAUCCAGGUAGGUAGUAUACACUAA